rnacentral:rRNA from 1 species
CCAAUAGCGUAUAUUAAAGUUGUUGCAGUUAAAAAGCUCGUAGUUGAAUUUCGGGGUCUGUCCGUCGGUCGGGCUUUACGGUCCGUACUGGUGUGAUGGGUUCCUACCUUCUGAAUAACCGGCAUGCCAUUCAGUUGGUGCGCCGGGGAAGCAGAGCUAUUACCUUGAAAAAAUUAGAGUGCUUAAAGCAGGCUAGUGCUUGAAUAGAUUAGCAUGGAAUAAUAAAAUAGGACGGCAUGGUUCUAUUUUGUUGGUUUCUAGGAUCACCGUAAUGAUUAAUAGGGAUAGUUGGGGGCAUUAGUAUUCAAUUGUCAGAGGUGAAAUUCUUGGAUUUAUUGAAGACUAACUUCUGCGAAAGCAUUUGCCAAGGAUGUUUUCAUUAAUCAAGAACGAAAGUUAGGGGAUCGAAGACGAUCAGAUACCGUCGUAGUCUUAACCAUAAACUAUGCCGACUAGGGAUCGGACGAUGUUAAUUUUUUAAUGACUCGUUCGGCGCCUUACG